rnacentral:rRNA from 1 species
AUUGAACGCUGGCGGCAGGCCUAACACAUGCAAGUCGAACGAGUGGCGGACGGGUGAGUAAUGUCUGGGAAACUGCCUGAUGGCGGGGGAUAACUACUGGAAACGGUAGCUAAUACCGCAUACCAUCGGAUGUGCCCAGAUGGGAUUAGCUAGUUGGUGGGGUAACGGCUCACCUAGGCGACGAUCCCUAGCUGGUCUGAGAGGAUGACAAGCCACACUGGAACUGAGACACGGUCCAGACUCCUACGGGAGGCAGCAGUGGGGAAUAUUGCACAAUGGGGGAAAGCCUGAGUCAGCCAUGCCGCGUGUAUGAAGAAGGCCUUCGGGUUGUAAAGUACUUUCAGCGGGGAGGCGGUACCCGCAGAAGAAGCACCGGCUAACUCCGUGCCAGCAGCCGCGGUAAUAC